UGGCGGCGUGCCUAACACAUGCAAGUCGCGCGAGAAAGCCCCUUCGGGGGUAAGUAAAGCGGCGGACGGGUGAGUAACGCGUGGACAACCUACCCCGGGGUUGGGGAUAACCCUGCGAAAGCGGGGCUAAUACCGAAUACGCUGUUCUCUUCCUGGGUGAUUUGUUUCACCGAGGAAGGGAAUGGGAAAGGUGGCCUCUGUAUCAAGCUACCGCCCCGGGAUGGGUUCGCGUCCCAUUAGCUUGUUGGUGGGGUCAAGGCCUACCAAGGCGACGAUGGGUAGCCGGCCUGAGAGGGUGAUCGGCCACACUGGGACUGGAACACGGCCCAGACUCCUACGGGAGGCAGCAGUGGGGAAUCUUGGGCAAUGGGCGCAAGCCUGACCCAGCGACGCCGCGUGUGGGAAGAAGGCCUUCGGGUCGUAAACCACUGUCAGGAGGGAAGAAAAGCAGUUUCCGAACAGGGAGCUGUGUUGACGGUACCUCCAGAGGAAGCACCGGCCAACUCCGUGCCAGCAGCCGCGGUAAUACGGAGGGUGCAAGCGUUAUUCGGAAUCACUGGGCGUAAAGCGCGCGUAGGCGGCAGCGCAAGUCAGAUGUGAAAGCCCUCGGCUAAACCGAGGAAUUGCAUCUGAAACUGCGUAGCUAGAGUUCGGGAGAGGGCGGCGGAACUCCCGGUGUAGGGGUGAAAUCCGUAGAUAUCGGGAGGAACACCAGAGGCGAAGGCGGCCGCCUGGACCGAAACUGACGCUGAGGCGCGAAAGCGUGGGUAGCAAACAGGAUUAGAUACCCUGGUAGUCCACGCCGUAAACAUUGGGCGCUAGAUGCUGGGGGCGUUAGAGCCUUCGGUGUCGCAGCUAACGCGUUAAGCGCCCCGCCU
rnacentral:rRNA from 1 species